rnacentral:rRNA from 1 species
GGACUACCGGGGUAUCUAAUCCUGUUUGCUCCCCACGCUUUCGUGCCUGAACGUCGGUGCUGGACCAGGAAGUCGCUUUCGCCACUGAUGUUCCUUCCGAUAUCUACGCAUUUCACCGCUACACCGGAAAUUCCACUUCCCUCUUCCGCACCCUAGCUAAACAGUCUCGAAUGCAAUUCCCAGGUUGAGCCCGGGGCUUUCACACCCGACUUGCAUAACCGUCUACGCACGCUUUACGCCCAGUAAUUCCGAUUAACGCUUGCACCCUCUGUAUUACCGCGGCUGCUGGCAC